ACGUAGGGAGCGAGCGUUGUCCGGAAUUACUGGGCGUAAAGGGCGUGUAGGCGGGAAUUUAAGUAAGGUGUGAAAACUCCGGGCUCAACUUGGAGACUGCACUUUAAACUGGAUUUCUUGAGGGCAGGAGAGGAAAGUGGAAUUCCUAGUGUAGCGGUGAAAUGCGUAGAUAUUAGGAGGAACACCAGUGGCGAAGGCGACUUUCUGGACUGUACCUGACGCUGAGGCGCGAAAGCGUGGGGAGCGAACAG
rnacentral:rRNA from 1 species